rnacentral:rRNA from 1 species
UACGUAGGGGGCAAGCGUUGUCCGGAAUCAUUGGGCGUAAAGCGCGCGUAGGUGGCUUCAUAAGUCCGUUGUGAAAGUCAAAGGCUCAACCUUUGAAAGCCGGUGGAUACUGCCGGGCUAGAGUCCGGAAGAGGCGAGUGGAAUUCCUGGUGUAGCGGUGGAAUGCGCAGAUAUCAGGAGGAACACCAAUAGCGAAGGCAGCUCGCUGGGACGGUACUGACGCUGGAGGUGCGAAAGCGUGGGGAGCGAACAGG